AGCAUUAUACCGCGAAACUGCGAAUGGCUCAUUAAAUCAGUUAUCGUUUAUUUGAUAGUACCUUACUACUUGGAUAACCGUGGUAAUUCUAGAGCUAAUACAUGCUAAAAGCCCCAACUCACGGCGGGGUGUAUUUAUUAGAUUAAAAACCAAUGCCCUUCUGGGCUCACUGGUGAUUCAUAAUAACUUCUCGGAUUGCACGGCCUUGUGGCGGCGAUGGUUCAUUCAAAUUUCUGCCCUAUCAACUUUCGAUGGCUGGGCUUUGGCCAGCCUUGGUGACAACGGGAAACGGAGGGUUAGGCUCCGACCCCGGAGGGGGAAGCCUGAAAAAACGGCUACCACAUCCAAGGAAGGCAGCAGGCGCCGCAAAUAACCCCAAUCCCGGACUCGGGGGAGGUAGGGGACAAUAAAUAAUGGAAUGCAAGGGUCUCUUUGUGGGUCUUGUCGAAUUUGGGAAUUAGGUUACAAUUAAAACUCCCCUAACCGAGGAAACAAAUUGGGAGGGACAAGUCUCUGGUGGCCAGCCAGCCCCGCGGUUAAUUCCAGUCUCCAAUUAGCGGAUAUAUUAAAAGUUUGUUUGAAGGUUAAAAAGCUCCGUAGUUUGACCCUUUGGGGCCCGGCUGGCCGGUCCCGCUCUCACCGGGUGCACUGGGUCCGGGCCGGGUUUUUUCUCUCUGGGGAGCCGCAUGCCCUUUUACUGGGCGUGCCGGGGGAACCAAGAACUUUUUACCGUGAAUAAAUUGGAAUCGCUUAAAGAAGGCCUAUGCUCGAACAGUGCAGCAUGGAAUAAUGAAGUAGGACGUUGUGAUCUAUUUUUGUUGUUUCUAGGACGCGUAAUGAUAUAGGACAGUCGGGGCGUCCGUAUCAAUGUCAGAGUGAAUUCUUGAUUUAUUGAAGAACGAACUACUGGCGAAAGCAUUCG
rnacentral:rRNA from 1 species